rnacentral:piRNA from 1 species
CUCCCAAUCUGUGUGAGGUUUUUUUGUG